ensembl:snoRNA U3 Small nucleolar RNA U3
AAGACUAUACUUUUAGGGAUCACUUCUAUAGUUUGUCACUAGAGAAGUUUCUCUCAACAUAGAAUCCCGGAAGCCAUGAGGAGGAAGUACAAUGUCCUUUUCUGAGCAUGAAGCUGGCUCUGGGUGUUGCUUCUGCAGCUGCCCUUUGCCAGUGAUGAUCUUUCUUCCCUCUAUCCGAAGAACAAGAAGGAAGGUAAACCAUCUCGGCAGGGG